CAUAUCAAUAAGCGGAGGAAAAGAAACUAACAAGGAUUCCCCUAGUAACUGCGAGUGAAGCGGGAAAAGCUCAAAUUUUAAAUCUGGCAGUCUAUGGCUGUCCGAGUUGUAAUCUAGAGAAGUGUUAUCCGCGCUGGACCGUGUACAAGUCUCCUGGAAUGGAGCGUCAUAGAGGGUGAGAAUCCCGUCUUUGACACGGACUGCCAGGGCUUUGUGAUGCGCUCUCAAAGAGUCGAGUUGUUUGGGAAUGCAGCUCAAAAUGGGUGGUAAAUUCCAUCUAAAGCUAAAUAUUGGCGAGAGACCGAUAGCGAACAAGUACCGUGAGGGAAAGAUGAAAAGAACUUUGGAAAGAGAGUUAAACAGUACGUGAAAUUGCUGAAAGGGAAACGCUUGAAGUCAGUCGCGUUGGCCAGGGAUCAACCUUGCUUUUGCUUGGUGCACUUUCUGGUUGACGGGUCAGCAUCAAUUUUGACCAUUGGAAAAAGGUCAGGGGAAUGUGGCAUCUUCGGAUGUGUUAUAGCCCUUAGCUGCAUACAAUGGUUGGGAUUGAGGAACUCAGCACGCCGCAAGGCCGGGUUUUAACCACGUACGUGCUUAGGAUGCUGGCAUAAUGGCUUUAAUCGACCCGUCUUGAAACACGGACCAAGGAGUCUAACAUACCUGCGAGUGUUUGGGUGGAAAACCCGAGCGCGCAAUGAAAGUGAAAGUUGAGAUCCCUGUCGUGGGGAGCAUCGACGCCCGGACCAGACCUUUUGUGACGGCCCCGCGGUAGAGCAUGUAUGUUGGGACCCGAAAGAUGGUGAACUAUGCCUGAAUAGGGUGAAGCCAGAGGAAACUCUGGUGGAGGCUCGUAGCGAUUCUGACGUGCAAAUCGAUCGUCAAAUUUGGGUAUAGGGGCGAAAGACUAAUCGAACCAUCUAGUAGCUGGUUCCUGCC
rnacentral:rRNA from 1 species